rfam:Streptomyces sp. AA4 genomic scaffold supercont1.1, whole genome shotgun sequence.
GGGGGUGAACGGUUUCGACUCUGGACGUUGAAUCAAGGGAAGCGUGCCGGUGCAGGCGAGAGACCACCGCAAGCGUCAUCGCAACCUAAUAAGCGCCAAGGCCAAUAGCCAGCGCGACUUCGCUCUCGCUGCCUGAUCGCAGUAGAGCAAGUCUGUCGGCCCGGGGUCGCCUCCGACCCGGUCGCCGGCAUCAGCUAGGAGGCUUACCUCCAGUCCCGGCCACGGGGCCUGGCAGGGAAGCAAACAGUGGCUGGGCUCGUCACUUCAGCUUGUUCGCGUGACUGAAGGGGCCAAGCAGAGACAUAGCGGACUGCGCACGGAGAAGCCUUGAGGAGGCGCUAGAGGACCCGGGUUCAAUUCCCGGCACCUCCACUC